CUGGACGAGCCACGCCCCCCUGAACAGGCUCGGUGUCUGAUCUCGGAAGCUAAGCGGGGUCGGGCGUGGUGAGUACUUGGAUGGGAGACCACCUAGGAAGACCAGGUGCUGUAGACA
rfam:Pteropus alecto contig33842, whole genome shotgun sequence.